GCGCCUAUAGUUUAACGGUAAAACUUUCGUCUUAUACACGAAUAUCGGGGGUCCGACUCCCUCUAGGCGCA
rnacentral:tRNA from 1 species